UUUUUCCCCAAAAAAAGAUGAUUUUUUAUACGUACAGUUUAAAACCUGUAUGUAUAACUCCAUCCAACCAAGAUACAUUAUGUAUCAGUUAUAACCCUGAGUCACACAGCUUGCUCAUGAGCUAGAAAUAACUUCAAAGUCACAGAUAGAACACAAAAGCCAAUCACUACGAAUGGAUUAUAUAUUCUCUACUAACUAACUAACACAUAACUCCAAGGGAGGAAUCUAACUGAUAGAACUGGACACUUAAAUUGUAGAAGCCUUUUCUAUACUCUGCAACUAGAAGAAUCUCUAAAAUAAUCGUAAAAUGCAGCAUUCAUUCAUUCAACAAGCACCACGUUUCAGGCAAGAUACCAUUGAUUAGGAUAACUACUGUUCCUGUAUGAACUGCCAAGAAAAAAAAAGGAACAACUUCUAAUUAAAAGUCACACAACGACGCAGAUACAGAGAAAACAUCUGCAUCACUGUAGCCCCACGGAGCCUCAACAGCAAAAGUGUUUGUGACAUUUCUUCACGUAGGCGCU
rnacentral:lncRNA from 1 species